ensembl:lncRNA
UUUUUUAAGACAGGAAGAGCACCUCAAAGAGAAAUAGACUUCUCUGAAAAAGCCUGAAAUGCUCUUUUUCAGAAUCUAUGAAUUUAUGUGUUUGUUUAUGGGCUGUGCUAGGUCUUAGUUGCUGUGUAGGCUUUGCUCUGGUGGCUGUACAAGGGCUUCUCACUGCGGUGGCUUCGCUUGCUGUGGAGCCCUGGCUCUGCGGCGUGCGGGCUUCAGUAAUUGCAGCAGUCAGGCUCAGGAGUUGCCGUUUCCAGGCCCCAGAGCACAGGCUCAGUAGUUGUGGCCCACGGGCUUAGUCGCUCCUCGGAAUGAGGGAUCUUCCUGGUCCAGGGAUUGAAUGCAUGUCUCCUACAUCAGCAUGAGGAUUCUUUACCACCAAGCCACCAGGGAAGCCGCAGGAAGCACAGUUUAAUCAGAAUACCUCCUUUUCUCUGGUCUGGUUAUAGGUAGCAAAUGCUUCAGAGCUGCUUUUCUCUGCCUUUGAGGCCUUGUUUCUGCAACUCAGGAGAAAAGGGGCCUGGUGUCCCAGGCUUGGGCUAGGGUGGGGAAGGUGUGUUUCUGAGGUUGCCUAUGAUAGGAGCCUGGUCCCAUGCAGGCAUCCCGCCCUCUCACAGCCCAGGGGCUGUGCCUGUUCUUGGGCCAGUUGCUGGGUUCUGGCUGGCUUUGUCCAGUGGAGCUCCCGGUUCCACCUUAUCUGCUCCUGAGUGAUGUGCAGUUAGAACCUUGCUCCUUGAUGUCAGUUCCCCAGACCAGCAGUACCCAUGCCUCCUGGUUAGAAAUGGAGAGUCUUGGGCCCCGCUUGAACUGCCCGCAUCAGCCUGCAUUUUAACAAGAUGCCCAGGUGAUGUGUGGGCAUGUAAAAGCUUGAGGAGUGCCUGCUAGAAGCCUGUUCUGGAGGAGGCACCUGGGAGAGUGGCCUCUUUUGAGCAGCAUAGGUGCUGUGUUUGUAGAGGGCUUUAGGACAGUGUUUCUCAAACUCUGAGGUGAAGGACCAGUGGUUUAUUUCAUUCAUCUGGGGACGGGUAUGUGCCCCAGUGAGCACGACCAUCACAAGUCUGACAUGUCAGGGCUGGUCUGUACGCUUUCUCUAUUCCGAGAGACAAGUCUGCCGUCACACGCUCGAGUGUGUAACUAUCAAGUUUCUGGGACUUCUCUAAAGCCUUCUUUACUCUCUCUUCCUGUACUUAUCUCCCCAAGGACCUACAACUAACAGUUUGGUCUGCAGAUCUGCUUUAAGUGAUCUUGUUCUCGGGUCCCAUCUGCAGGGUCGGACAGACUUGAAUCCUGGUUCUGUUACUUCCUCGCUGUGUGUUCUUGGGCAGCUGUUUAACCUCUCUGAGUCUUAAUUUUGUCAUCUGUAAGUCAGAGAUAAUAGUGCCCAUGCCUCACAGGGUUGGAGUUAGGGAUAAAUGAGGAAGCGUGGGUGAAGCCUGGAGUGCAUACCUGGUAAUGUGCUGUGCUGUGCUUCGUCGCUCAGUCGUGUCUGACUCUUUGUGACCCCCGUGGACUGUAGCCCACCAGGCUCCUCUGUUCAUUGGGGAUUCUCCAGGCAAGAAUAUUGGAGUGGGUUGCCAUCUCUUCCUCAAGGGAAUGUUCCCAAACCAGAUAUUGAACCCAGGUCUCCUGCAGGCGGUUUCUUUACUAGCUGAGCUACCAGGGGAGCUCAUGCUUGAUAAUAUUGGCUGUCAGAUGUGGGCAACAGCACCAUUGUUAUUGGUUGCUGUCUUGGAGCAUCUGAAAAUGA